rnacentral:ncRNA from 1 species
GUUUCGGGGCGGGGUGAAAUUCCCCACCGGCGGUAUAGCCCGCGACCACAGCGCUUUCGCGCUGUGCUGAUUUGGUGAAAUUCCAAAGCCGACGGUAUAGUCCGGAUGAAAGAAA